rnacentral:rRNA from 1 species
AUUGAACGCUGGCGGCAUGCCUUACACAUGCAAGUCGAACGGCAGCACGGGAGCUUGCUCCUGGUGGCGAGUGGCGAACGGGUGAGUAAUACAUCGGAACGUACCCUGAAGUGGGGGAUAACGUAGCGAAAGUUACGCUAAUACCGCAUAUUCUGUGAGCAGGAAAGAGGGGGAUCGCAAGACCUCUUGCUUUAGGAGCGGCCGAUGUCGGAUUAGCUAGUUGGUGAGGUAAAGGCUCACCAAGGCGACGAUCCGUAGCGGGUCUGAGAGGAUGAUCCGCCACACUGGGACUGAGACACGGCCCAGACUCCUACGGGAGGCAGCAGUGGGGAAUUUUGGACAAUGGGCGCAAGCCUGAUCCAGCCAUGCCGCGUGAGUGAAGAAGGCCUUCGGGUUGUAAA